rnacentral:rRNA from 1 species
GACGAACGCUGGCGGCGUGCUUAACACAUGCAAGUCGAACGGUGAAGCGCCUUCCUUUUUGGUGGGUGUGGAUGAGUGGCGAACGGGUGAGUAACACGUGAGUAACCUGCCCCCUUCUUCUGGAUAACCGCAUGAAAGUGUGGCUAAUACGGGAUAUUCUGGGUCUGUCGCAUGAUGGGUCUGGGAAAGAUAUUGCUUCGGUGGGGGAUGGGCUCGCGGCCUAUCAGCUUGUGGGUGGGGUGAUGGCCUACCAAGGCGGUGACGGGUAGCCGGCCUGAGAGGGUGGACGGUCACACUGGGACUGAGACACGGCCCAGACUCCUACGGGAGGCAGCAGUGGGGAAUAUUGCACAAUGGGCGCAAGCCUGAUGCCGCGACGCCGCGUGAGGGAUGGAGGCCUUCGGGUUGUGAACCUCUUUCGCCAGUGAAGCAGGCCUGCCUCGUUUGUGGGUGGGUUGACGGUAGCUGGAUAAGAAGCGCCGGCUAACUACGUG